rnacentral:rRNA from 1 species
UUAAGGGACACAGAGCGGAAAAACAGUGGGAGCCAAACAGGAUUAGAUACCUUGGUAUAGCACGCAGUAUACGAUGGACAUUAGGUUAAAGGGGUAAUGACCACUGCUGAACCGAAGUUAACGCGUAAAGUGCCCCGCAUGGGGAGAACGAGCACAAGGUUAAAUCUCAAAGGAAUUGACGGGGGGACGCACAAGCGGUGGAGCAUAUGGUUUAAUUUGAAGCAUCGAGAAGAACCUUACCUGGGCUGAACAUACCGGGGAAUCUCCUGUAAACAGGGGAGUGCCCUUCGGGGAACCCGGAGACAGGUGCUGCAUGGCUGUCGUCAUCUCGUGUCGUGAGAUGUGAGGUUAAGUCGCGCAACGAGCGCAACCCCUGCCUCUAGUUGCCAGCAUUUCGGGUGGGCACUCUAGAGGGACUGCCGGUGUCAAUCCGGAGGAAGGUGGGGACGACGUCAAGUCCUCAUGGCCUUUAUGUCCAGGGCUACACACGUGCUACAAUGGGCGGUACAAAGGGCAGCGAGCCUACGAGGGGGAGCCAAUCCCAAAAAGCCGUCCUCAGUUCGGAUCGGAGUCUGCAACUCGAUUCCGUGAAGGUGGAAUCGGUAGUAAUCGCGGAUCAGCAUGCCGCGGUGAAUACGUUCCCGGGCCUUGUACACACCGCCCGUCACACCACGAAAGUCGGCUGUACCAGAAGUGCGUGGGCUAACCCAUCUGGGAGGCAGCGUACCAAGGUAUGGUCGGUAAUUGGGGUGAAGUCGUAACAAGGUAACCGU